rnacentral:tmRNA from 1 species
GGGGGCGUAAAGGUUUCGACGGGGGUUGCGAGCUUUAGUAAGCGGGCAGUGGCGCGAUCCCACUUUUAAAUCGCAGUUUUUUUAAAUAAUUUAAAAAACAACAAACAAGAAAAUUUGCAAACUUCAGCCCUACAGGCUGCUUAGUUUUGCCGUUACUUUAGGACUAACCACGAUCCUUUAGAAGCGUCGAUUAGUGGUGAACGUGAACAAUAAGUUUGCCUUAACUUUUGUCAUGACUUUAAAGGCUAUCAAUGAGUUUAGCUCUGCCACUGAGCGAUUCUCAGUGAGAAAAUAAAUUAGUGGAUACGCUCGUAGAAAACUUGGGUAAGCAAUUUUCGGACAGGGGUUCAAUUCCCCUCGCCUCCACCA